AUGGCGCAUAUGACUGUCCCGGCUGAUGCUCUCAAGAACAUUGACAGGCUGGGUGCUAUGGCUCAUGCUUGUAAUCCCAGCACUUUGGGAGGCUGAGGCAGGCAGAUCAUGAGGUCAAGAGAUCAAGAACAUCCUGGCCAACAUGGUGAAAUCCUGUCUCUACUAAAAAUACAAAACUUAGCUGGGCGUGGUGGCGCACGCCUGUAAUCCUAGCUACGCGGGAGGCAGGGGCAGGAGAAUCGCUUGAACCCGGGAGGCAAAGGUUGCAGUGAGCCGAGAUCGCACCAUUGCGCUCCAGCCUGGUGAAAGAGGGAGACUCCGUCUCAAAAAGAAAAAAAAAAAAAAUAGAACAUCAACAAUGCCAAAAAGAGAGGCAAAAUGCCAGGUACCUAUUAGGCCAUUCUCCAAAGUCAUCGUCCAGUUUCUAACUGUGAUGAUGAAGCAUGGUUACAUUGGCGAAUUUGAAAUCACUGAUGAUCACACAGCUGGGAAAAUUACUGUAAACCUCACAGGCAGGCUAAACGUGGGAUCAGCCCCAGAUUUGAUGUGCAAAGAUCUAGAAAAAUAGCAGAAUGAUCUGCUUCCAUCCCGCCAGUUUGGUUUCAUUGUACUGACCACCUCAGCUGGCAUCAUGGACCAUGAAGAAGCAAGACGAAAACACACAGGAAGGAAAAUCCUGGGACUCUUUUUCUAG
rnacentral:lncRNA from 10 species